GAUGUGAGGGUGAGCUGGCUAUGACAUCUGUUACCUCACUGAUUGCCAGGGUUGAUUUGGCUGAUCUGGUUGGAUAAGCAGGUAUCCCCUUCCAGUCUUUGUUC
rnacentral:snRNA from 1 species